AGAGUUUGUGGGAUUGAGGCCCUCCUAUCUAG
rnacentral:tRNA from 1 species